rnacentral:lncRNA from 10 species
CACGAUUCUCCCACCUCAGUCUCCCGAAUAGCUGGGAUUACAGGCAUGUGCCACCACACCUGGAUAAUUUUUGUAUUUUAGCAGAGAUGGGGUUUCACCACAUUGGCCAGGCUGGCCUCGAACUCCUGACCUCAGAUGAUCUGCCCACCUCGGCCUCCCAAAGUGCUGGGAUUACAGGCAUGAGCCAUUGUGCCCAGCCCGUUUCACAUCUUUCUGGAAUGUCAAUUUUACUUGACAGAUACACUCUGAGACUUGAAAGAAGUCACCCUCUGAGAUGGGUCCCUGAUAUGGUUUGGUUAUGUCCCCACUCAAAUCUCAUCUUGAAUUAUAGCUCCCAUAAUCCCUACAUAUCAUGAGCGGUACCUGGUGGGAGGUAACUGAAUCAUUGGGGAGGGUUUUUCCCAUGCUGUUCUUGUGAUAGCAAAUAAGUCUCAAGCUGUGAUGGUUUUAUAAAUGGGAGUUUCCCUGCACACACUCUCUUGCCUGUCGCCAUGUAAGACGUGCCUUUGCUCCUCCUUCAUCUUCCACCAUGAUUGUGACGUCUCUCCAGCCAUGUGGAACUGUGAAUCUAUUAAACCUCUUUUUCUUUAUAAAUUACCCAGUUUUGAGUAUUUCUUCAUAGCAGUAUGAAAAGGGAC